UUCAUUUCCUAUUUUAGUACUGAAAAUAAGCCCCUUUGACAUUGCAUUUAAAUUGAAUAGCUAGUUCAAAAACAAAUGGAAAGAAAUAAUUCCAUUAAUUAAUUCUUAAUUAAUGGUUAAAUAAUGGUUAAUCACAAAAUAAUUACUGAUGUAUAAAUGGAAGGUAGCUCUUAGACCUGCUUUAUGAGACUAUAUCGAGACUUCUAUUUGUAACUUUCCUUUUUCUGUUAUGUUUUUCAACUCUAAAAGAUUGGUAUUUUUUCACAUAUAUAAUAUUGGAAUGAAUCAAUUUUAAUCAAUACAAUAGCAAAUGAAAAAAAAUAACGCUCUACAUUAAAAGAGUAGCAUUAUGUAGUAUGAACAAAGUAUAUUCUAAAAUAAUCUUCAAUCCAUUUUUAAUCCUCUAACACGGUUUUCUUUCUUUUUUAUUUUGCUGAAAUUUGAAACUGUUCUCAAAUAAAAUGCUAUCACAUCCCUCUCCCUAUUCUUACCCCCCCUCUUUGUUCUUUAGAUUUCUAUUUGAUGUCUUUCUGUCUUCUACUUAGCAGAUGUAUACGCAUGUGAGGAAUAGGAGGGAAGAAUGGAAAGAGGUGGAUUUAAAGCUACAAUCAAUUAACCUGUUGCUAGGGGACCCUCAGCUCACCAAUCAAAAAAUAGCAAUCAGCUGACUGGAAUUAGCAGGAUAUAAAAUGGAAUAAUGAAGCAUCACGCUUCUACCUUUUUUUUUUUUUUUUUUCUUUUUCCUUUCCUUUCUUCUCUUUUUCCUCUUUUUUUUUAUUUUUUAAGUGCUUACAAAGGGUGAGAGAGAAGGUCGAUAGGAGGUGGUUGAAAUGUCAAGGAUAUUUCACUCUUAGUUUAGAUAUGUUGACAUAUUGGAGAUGAAUAAAAGAGAAGAUGAAUGCUUGCUUUCAUCAUUCACCUAUCCAACCACCUUGUGAUGUGUCUUUCAUGCUGUCGGCAUGAAAGGAAGAAAAGGCAAGUACACUGAACUUAGUCUCAGCUCUCUUCCUUUGUUGGGUAGCCUUUGUAUGUGCCUACUGGUUGGAGACAAGCACAAAGUACAGGAGUGGUGCCAUGGCUGUGCACUCCUAGUAUAUUGGAUUCAGUAUCUUGAUAUAUUGGAUUCAGUAUCUUGAAACACUAAGAGAAGAAAAGAAAGUCUGUUAUUAUGCCAGUGCAGUCUGGACACCGAAUUCAACUGCAUUUUUUUUUUAAUUUUUAUUAUUAUUUUUUUUACUUCAGGCUUUGAAUUCUAAAUCUUCAUAAGGUUAUGCUUUAGGCAAAUUGUUUUGCCUCUGCUUGAAGUCACCUUGAGGUCUCAGUGUUAUUUGAGAUGAGGUACAGUGAUUUGGGUAUGCCUAAGGAUAUAGGAAAAGGAAGAAUAAACAUUUAAUCAGGAAGCUAAUUUUUAUACAGAUUGGGGACUUUAAACAGUUUCAAUACUGUAAAUUUAAUAUAGCAGCCCAUCUCUGCAGAAUGGGUAAACUUCUGAAGUUUCAGAGCUGAAUAUUAAAUGACUGUAGUAAUAUUCAUAUUUAUUACCUCAAGGAAAUGUUAUCUACUUCUUAAAAUUCAUGUUACAAUAAGGGACUGUGGAACUAUUGCUUUCAAAUAUUUUUUCUGGUAUCUAACUACUGUAUAUGCCUCUUGUAGCCAGUUUUUCUUGUAUUGUCAUUAGAGCAUGCAAAUAAGUGGUGGUCAUAUUUUAUUAAAUUCUGAUGCUCAGGUAUUAAAACACAAACAAAAAAAGAAAACACAAAAUUACAAUUGCAAACUAAUUUUAUUUUUUUUUAUACUCCAAGGAAGUAUUUUUAAAGAGAGAUUUAGAUGUUGGAUUUGCAAAUUCAUUGGGAUGAUUGGUUCAUAAAAUACGACUAAGAAAAAGCCCACAAAUAUGCACUGUGUUUAUUGGCUAGAUUCACAGAGAGUUGGAGUCAGGCAGGAGAUUAAUUAUUUUACAUUAUUGAUUGUCUUGGAAUGACUGCAGUUACUAAAUAUCAAACUGCUUGCAUAUAAAUCUAACUCAUGCUGCAGAGUUAACAUGUUCUUUAUUGUAGGUUUAGUAAAAUAGGUCUGCAUUUGGUGAACUACUUGAGCAAUAAUUAAAUUGCAAAGGAAUAUUGGGAAAUUUAUCUUUAACAUGUGAAUGAGGUUUUUUUGUUUGUUUGUUUUGUUUUAACCAAGAUAUGAUCUUAGCCAAAUAUCAAGAUUACUGAGUUGAAGGGGGGAGGUGGUGAAAUUGUUGAUGAAUAGCGUACAUAAUCUUCUGUAGUUUCACUUCUUUUUCAUUUUUUUUUCCUGUUUCCUUAAUAUUUUCCUUAAGAUAAAAAAAAAAAAAAGGCAUUGCUCCUAACUUUAAAUGAUAGUCUGUUCCGAAGAUCAAUACAAUAGUAGAUAUAAAGACUGAUAGCAUUUGCUAAGUGAAAGCUGAACGUAAGCUUACAAAAAAAAAAAAAAUAAAACAACAACAACAAAAAAAGCGCUUAGAGGAAAGGAGGAGUAUGGUCGUGGCUGGGAAGGGGAUGUGAAAUCUUAGAGCAACACUGGCUACAGUGAUUAUGAGAAUGCAGUGAUUAUGGUGAAAUGCAGAAUUCUGAGAGGAAAUAAGGCCAGUAGCCAGGAUCACAACCCUGGCUUCAGGACAACAGAUUCUGAUACAGUCCUGCAGAGAUUAUAGUCCAGAAUAACGGGUUCAUUUCUAUAGGUUACUUUCUCUGAGCUCAAGAAUAAUGAUUGACUUCCUACACAUAGGCGAGGAAGGGAGUCAGGAAAUCUGCAUGCAUGAUGAAACUCAAAUAUAAAAGGAACCAUACAAGAGAUGGAAGUAGAGGUGAACUGGAGAUGAAGCUGGGAAGCAAUAUGGAAAACAGCAAGGAGACCUUCUGUGGUAAUAUCAACAAUAAAAAGAAGACUAGAUAAAUAUGAAUAUACUGCUGAAUGGGACAAGUGUUUUAAUGACAAAAGACAAGGAAGAAGCCAAGGUACUUGUUACCUUUUCUGAGGAUUGAAGGAAGAAGAGGCUGGUCAGCCUCCCAUGAAAGCCUGGGAAGGCGAUGGAGCAAAUAAUCCUGGAAGCCAUUUCCAAACUUGAAGAAUUAAAAGGUGAUUGGGUGUCAUGACCAAAACAAACAUCUGCUAUGAUGCAGUUACUAUUUUAAGGAAACAGUGUAUGUUCUGUGUCUUCAGUGAGGCUUUCAAAACUGAUAACACCCUCAUUAACAAACUGAUGAAGCAUGAAUUAAAUGAACAGACAGUGGCAUGAAUUGGAAAUUGGCUGAACCGCUGGGCUCAAAGAAUUGAGAUCAGUGGCACGGUCUGUACUUCAGUCACCAAGCGGUGUAUCCCAGGGUUUGAUUUUGGGGCCAAAAAUAUUUUGUUAAUGCCCCUGAUGAUGAUACAGAGUACACCCCCACCAGAUUUUCAGAUGAUAAAAAACUGGGAGGAGUGGCUGAUAUAAUAGAUGAUUGUGCU